rnacentral:rRNA from 1 species
AUUGAACGCUGGCGGCAUGCUUUACACAUGCAAGUCGAACGGUAACAGGUUAAGCUGACGAGUGGCGAACGGGUGAGUAAUGCAUCGGAACGUGCCCGGUCGUGGGGGAUAACGCAGCGAAAGUUGCGCUAAUACCGCAUACGAUCUGAGGAUGAAAGCGGGGGACCGUAAGGCCUCGCGCGAUCGGAGCGGCCGAUGUCAGAUUAGGUAGUUGGUGGGGUAAAGGCUCACCAAGCCAACGAUCUGUAGCUGGUCUGAGAGGACGACCAGCUACACUGGGACUGAGACACGGCCCGGACUCCUACGGGAGGCAGCAGUGGGGAAUUUUGGACAAUGGGCGAAAGCCUGAUCCAGCAAUGCCGCGUGCAGGAAGAAGGCCUUCGGGUUGUAAACUGCUUUUGUACGGAGCGAAAAGGUCUCCUCUAAUACAGGGGGCUCAUGACGGUACCGUAAGAACAAGCACCGGCUAACUACGUGCCAGCAGCCGCCGUAA